rnacentral:lncRNA from 1 species
GUGUUCUUGCGGUUCCCAGCCUCUGGGAGGACUUGAAGAAGGGAGGAGACCUGUAGGAGGGGGCUUUGCGGGACGAAUAGGAGUUUACCGAGUGUUGUUGGAAGAGAAGAAGGUUGUGUUGCGGGGCAGCAGUCAGGUCACGUUGUGGAGUCGGGGGAAUAGGAAAAGGCAAAGCUGCCUAGAGCCCUGAAGGAGAUCCCCCCCAAGUCUAGGCUUCAGCUGACGGGGACGGGACGCCUAACCGUGACCCUGGUUAGCAUCACCCUUUGGGAGGUGGAGGCAGAAAAAGUAGAACAGGUUUGACCGAAAUCCCAAUCAUCCGGAAGAAGCUGCGAGGGCCGAUGGCAGGGAUGGAGGAUGGGGAGGUUGAAGGUUUUAAAAUGCACGCGGGCACUUUGGAUGAGGCGAGAAGGAUCCCCGGGGCAGGUAUUCCAGGUCAUCAUUAAGUGGCCUCGGUAAAGAAGUGGGGGAGAGGUGGGUGCCUGCACACCUGACAUCACAUCGCUCAAGAGGCUGAGACAGAAGGAUGACCUCCUGCCCAGGCUGGCCUGCGGUGGCAAGACUAGGGUAGAGGCUGACGACGAAAAGGAACGGUGUGGUUUCCCAAACGAGCUAAGGGGGGGGGGGACAUUGCAAAUGGGCCGAGUUCUGUGACCAAGCAGCCGGGGGCGGGUAGAAAGAGGUCACUAGAGGUCAUGGCUUCCUGCCAAAGGCUGGAGUCCCCUGGGGGGAGGAGUGGCCACUCUCCAGUCGGGAAUCUGGGGACUUGGCAGCAAGCUCCGAGAUGUCAGAGGCCUUGGGAAGGAGACUACGCUGGCGGCAGCUGGGCGUGGAGAUCUUUCCUGGAGUCUGAUUCCAGCCCCACCCACGGCCACCUAGUCCUCCGCGGUGUCACGCGGGGCAGCUUUUCUCUAUUUCUGUCUCUCUCCAGGCCCCUGGCCUGGCAGGCACCAUGGUGAGCGA